rnacentral:misc_RNA from 1 species
AAGUCGUAACAAGGUUUCCGUAGGUGAACCUGCGGAAGGAUCAUUACCGAGUUAGGGUACUCUUCGUGCCCGACCUCCAACCCUUUGUCUACCUGACCAGAUGUUGCUUCGGCAGGCCCGCCGCCCCGCAAGGGGUGGCCGCCGGGGGUCCUUACCGGCCCCGGGUCCGUGCCUGUCGAUGGCCCUUCUAAAACUCUUGCUUAAAACGUGUCGUCUGAGUAAAACAAACAAAAUAAAAACAAAACUUUCAACAACGGAUCUCUUGGUUCUG